rnacentral:rRNA from 1 species
UACGUAGGGAGCAAGCGUUGUCCGGAAUCAUUGGGCGUAAAGAGCGCGUAGGCGGCCCUGUAAGUCCGUUCUGAAAGUCGGAGGCUCAACCUCCGAAAGCGGAUGGAUACUGCAGGGCUAGAGUCCGGAAGAGGUGAGUGGAACUCCUAGUGUAGAGGUGGAAUUCGUAGAUAUUAGGAAGAACACCAGUGGCGAAGGCGGCUCACUGGUCCGGUACUGACGCUGAGGUGCGAAAGCGUGGGGAGCAAACAGG